rnacentral:rRNA from 1 species
AGUGAACGCUGGCGGUAGGCCUAACACAUGCAAGUCGAACGGCAGCACAGUAAGAGCUUGCUCUUACGGGUGGCGAGUGGCGGACGGGUGAGGAAUACAUCGGAAUCUACUUUUUCGUGGGGGAUAACGUAGGGAAACUUACGCUAAUACCGCAUACGACCUACGGGUGAAAGCAGGGGAUCUUCGGACCUUGCGCGAUUGAAUGAGCCGAUGUCGGAUUAGCUAGUUGGCGGGGUAAAGGCCCACCAAGGCGACGAUCCGUAGCUGGUCUGAGAGGGUGAAAGGAGAAACGGGGACUGAGACACGGCCCAGACUCCUCUGGGAGGCAGAAGUGGGGAAUAGGGUAAAAAGGGCGAAAGGCUGAUACAGAGACGCAGCGUGAGGGAUGACGGCUUUCGGGUUGUAAACAGAAGUCAGAAGGGAAGAAGAGAAAGUGACGGUACCUGCAGAAGAAGCACGGGAUAAAUACGUG